CUAUCGACGUCGGCCGACUAGUUGCUGUAACCGUUCAGAUUUGCUGUAACCGUUCAGAAUUGCUGUAACCAUUCAGAUUCGCGGUCUGUUCGCGACGGUCUCCAUCCGUGAAGCCCAGCCGCCACGUCUCAUUUGGCCGACCGCUGACCGACCCACACUUAGGAUUUUGCCGCGAGUUCGACAGUCGUGCGUUGAGGUGUUGGGAGUAACAUUAGGCUCCCUUACAUUCACAACCAGAUUGUGAAUUGUUGAAGGUUCAGUUCGCCAUUAUAUCAGAUUGUUUCGAGGACGUUAGUGAUUAAGGAGCUUCCCUAACUUUGAGGCAAAGGAAAUAAAGGUGGCAAACCGGCGAGGGACAGGAAGGAAGCGUGAUUGCCAUAGGGAAU